GAUUAACGCUGGCGGCGUGCAUAACACAUGCAAGUCGAACGAUGAAACUUUAAUGACCCCUUCGGGGAGAAUUAAAGCGGAUUAGUGGCGAACGGGUGAGUAACGCGUGAGUAACCUGCCUUACACAAGGGGAUAGCCUUUGGAAACGAAGAAUAAUACCCUAUAAAACCAUAAAAGCACAUGCAAUUAUGGUCAAAGUGAUAGCGGUGUAAGAUGGACUUGCGUCUGAUUAGCUAGUUGGUGAGAUAAAAGCCCACCAAGGCAACGAUCAGUAGCCGGCUUGAGAGAGUGUACGGCAACAUUGGGACUGAGACACGGCCCAGACUCCUACGGGAGGCAGCAGUGGGGAAUUUUGCACAAUGGGGGAAACACUGAUGCAGCGACGCCGCGUGAUUUAGAAGGCCUUCGGGUUGUAAAAAUCUUUUGUAUAGGAAGAAAAUGACAGUACUAUACGAAUAAGGUCCGGCUAAUUACGUG
rnacentral:rRNA from 1 species